CCCUCUGGUGUCAACCCUCCCACUCCCACUGGCCACCUCCAAAGCUACACCCCAUCUUUGACCACUCUCUUCUCCUCCUCCUCCAGUACCAGCUUCUCUUCCCUAGUAUCCUACCAAACUCCUCUCCUGUGGCACUGAAUGCCAUCCCACCAGUCCCUGGCACUUGCAAAGUACCUUACCCUCCCCCUCCUUCUCCCCACAUAAGCCUUCCCCAGCAAGCCAAACCUGACAGUACCACUGCACAAACAAAACGGAAACUGACUUCAUUAAUUUCCAUUGGCCAUGCUGAGAAAUUCAGAAAGUAAAGAAAGAGCACAAACGGUGCUUUCCAUGCAAGGACCUCACAAUGCUGCAUAAACAUUCAUAGGCCAAAUUCACCACUGGCCCAGUGACAUUAGCCUCACUCUGUAUCUGUGAAGUAGACAGAAAUAGGCACAUUGUGGUGGAAGAUUUGACUUUGCCAUGGUUCCUUGCUUAGUCAUCUGCAGUAGCCCAGAGCAGUUAUGAGAAGACAGAGUGUCUGAUUUGUUUGUUUGUUUGUUCCUUUUCCUCCCUGAGUUGCCUUCAGAAUUUGCAAUGUGAACAGCAGUUCAGGAAACACAGAGAAGAUGACACAGCUCAUCUGCACUUAAUGGAUGCAUCAUCAGAUCAAAUGAGGAUCUCAAACCACACCCCACGCACACACCCACACCCACACCUAUCCUCUUUCCAUUGCCUAAAAUCAUCACUUAAGGGAAAAGGAUAAUACUUCGCACUCAGGCCAGUUCUGUACAAAGUUGUACCUAUAAAACUAGAGGUGCGAUUUGAUAUCACUUUGGUUAAACUGGUGUAACUUUGUGCCGCUUAUAUUAGUUUAAACCUGGUUUAUAGCAGUUUAGCUUGUGCCACAGGCUAUAAACUGGAUUAUGCCACUUAUAAAGCGCUACAAACCAGAUGCGGUAUAAGUGUGUCCAAAUACAAAGAUGCAUCGGAAUUAUAAGCUCUUUGGGGAAGGGACCAUCUUUUUAUUCUGUUUGUACAGCACCUGGCACAGUGGCGUCCUGGUUCAUGAGGACUCCUAGGUGUUACCCAUAAUACAAAUAAAGUGAUUCAAGUUCAACUGAUGUAACUUCUGUGUGUAGACAAACUCUUACGUCACGCCUUUAAUCCCAGGAGCUGAAUGCGUUUUGCUGACAUUCAUGAAUGAAGCCUCACCCCACCCACGGGAAAGCUGAUGAAUCUGUUUAUCCCCAUGCGGUAGAUGGUGAAACUGAGGCACAGCAAGAUGUGAUUUAGCCCAAGGUCAGUGCCAGGGAGAGAACCCAGGAGUCCUGACGCUCAGCGCCAUGCUAGACUGCGCUGCCCCUUCCCCUACCUUGUCUCUUUCAUGCAGUUGCUCUUUGGACUUUUUUUUUUUUUGGCUUGUGUCAGGUGUCAAUGUUCAAAUAGGGAAUUGCUCUGCUGGACAAGACCAGGAAGGUGCAUCCUCUUGGGUGACCACAGGAAGGAAUCCCUGCUUUAAAAUUAUUUCUUUUCAUUAAGAGCUCCCCACCCCCUGCCAUUUAUUCUUUUCCUUUUCACUGACCCCCCAACAAGUCUCUGGUUGGGCUCUGAGGUCUCUGAGGCCAAAGCUUUGUGGGGUUUUUUUUUUAAACAACCAUGUUUUCCCCUGCAGAUUGGGCAAUCCCAGUGGUUUUUUCCCUCAGUCGGCAUUGCCAACACCAGGUUCGACAGCUGCUGGAUGGGAUUUCUGAUUCCUGCCGUGAGGCUACAGGGAGUCCAAAUGUCAACACACAAACAGCAGCUAGGCCCCGGUUCAUGCGUGACCAUCACAACAGCUGCACUGACUCAACGGGGCGUUCACAGGAAGCCAAGCCGGAGAGUCACCACUCAAGGAGCAUUCUCAGGGCCCCAAACUUGGGGUAACGCUAGACAGCCUCCUGACUUCCCUAUGCCCAGACAAGCUAACACAAGGAGAGCGCAGCUUUGCUGUGACGCCCGGCUCGUAAUCACCCACAACCCAGCUUUAGAGAUAGUCAGGGAGCGUAGCCCUCAGUCAAAACCAAUCCAGCACUAGGACAGUGGCUUCAGAGAGCAGGAAGGGUAGGUUUUCAGGAGCUAGCCCUAGAUCACAGAUAGUCCACCGCGGGGAUAGCUCAGGGCAUAGGACUGAUGGGACUAGGAUGAGGAUGCAGGUUCUGGCUACCCUCCGUGCUACUUCAGUGCACAAACUGGACCUGGCUGCUGAGUCUGUCAUUAGCGUCCCAGCAUGCUUCUGGUUCAGCAGGUGCUUUUUGAACCCCAGACUGGUGCCCGUGGAGAUGGGGUUUUGCUCCAGUGGCCCUUAGUAGGGUUCAUAUGGGAUCGAAAUGGCACCAGCAGUCGGGGGAGAUCAGGCCGUCCCUUUCCGUCCAUCCACAUCUCCUGUCCCAUCGUCAUCCCAAGAGAGGAUCCGGGGACCAUGAAUGGAUUUUGGUGGGGCUAUUUCACCACCCAAGAUACAAACCAGCUAUGACGUUGCACCCCAUAAUGUUUUAUAGAAAUAUGCUUAUGAGUGUAAAUAUGACAUAACUGGAAUAUAUUUUAUGCUAGAUAUGCCAUGUAACAUAUCUUUGCAAAGGUUAUAUUCUUCUCCAUGUAUUCAGCCUAUUCGUAUGCAUGUAUCAUUUUUAUAUCUGAAGUUAUGAGCGUUGGCUCUAUGCUUGUAUUUGAAGUGUUUGCUGUAGAAAGAAUCUAAGGCAGAUUUGGUCAACAUAGUGUGAAGGGGUUAUUCAAGUAAUUGGGAGUACUUGGCUAACAAUGGAUCUUGAUAGAUGCCAGUCCACAUCUGAGCUUUCCUGGGAACGUUCGGGCUAACAUACGGGCAAUGGCGAUGGCCUGUAGAGAACUGAGUCAUGCAUGGACAUGUGAAAUGCCCAUGUGACUCCAAAACUCCAUCUUGUAGCUAUGAUGCUACACAGGGGGAGAGAAGGGUUUCCACGCACAAGAGAGAGACUAUAUAAGCCCCUGGAAUCCCCUCCAUUUUGUCUUCAGCUGGCUCAAGAGAUAGCCUCUCCAUCCCAAAGAGAUGCCUGAAAGAAACUGGAACAAAGGACAGUAAC